GUGCCAGCCGCCGCGGUAAUACGGAGGGUGCAAGCGUUAUCCGGAUUUAUUGGGUUUAAAGGGUCCGUAGGCGGACUUAUAAGUCAGUGGUGAAAUCCGGCAGCUUAACUGUCGAACUGCCAUUGAUACUGUAAGUCUUGAGUAUAUUUGAGGUAGCUGGAAUAAGUAGUGUAGCGGUGAAAUGCAUAGAUAUUACUUAGAACACCAAUUGCGAAGGCAGGUUACCAAGUUAUAACUGACGCUGAUGGACGAAAGCGUGGGUAGCGAACAGGAUUAGAUACCCUGGUAGUCCACGCUGUAAACGAUGCUAACUCGUUUUUGGGCAUUAUAGUUCAGAGACCAAGCGAAAGUGAUAAGUUAGCCACCUGGGGAGUACGUUCGCAAGAAUGAAACUCAAAGAAAUUGGCGG
rnacentral:rRNA from 1 species